rnacentral:rRNA from 1 species
GCCUAACACAUGCAAGUCGAACGAAGCACCUUACCUGAUUCUUCGGAUGAAGGUCUGGUGACUGAGUGGCGGACGGGUGAGUAACGCGUGGGUAACCUGCCCUGUACAGGGGGAUAACAGUUGGAAACGGCUGCUAAUACCGCAUAAGCGCACGAGAGGACAUCCUCUUGUGUGAAAAACUCCGGUGGUACAGGAUGGGCCCGCGUCUGAUUAGCUGGUUGGCAGGGUAACGGCCUACCAAGGCGACGAUCAGUAGCCGGUCUGAGAGGAUGAACGGCCACAUUGGAACUGAGACACGGUCCAAACUCCUACGGGAGGCAGCAGUGGGGAAUAUUGCACAAUGGGGGAAACCCUGAUGCAGCAACGCCGCGUGAGUGAAGAAGUAUUUCGGUAUGUAAAGCUCUAUCAGCAGGGAAGAUAAUGACGGUACCUGACUAAGAAGCUCCGGCUAAAUACGUGCCAGCAGCCGCGGUAAUACGUAUGGAGCAAGCGUUAUCCGGAUUUACUGGGUGUAAAGGGUGCGUAGGUGGCAGUGCAAGUCAGAUGUGAAAGGCCGGGGCUCAACCCCGGAGCUGCAUUUGAAACUGCAUAGCUGGAGUACAGGAGAGGCAGGCGGAAUUCCUAGUGUAGCGGUGAAAUGCGUAGAUAUUAGGAGGAACACCAGUGGCGAAGGCGGCCUGCUGGACUGUUACUGACAC